AAACCUAUCGCUGUAAUUAUAUUAUUUUAUAUUAUAUUUUUUUUAUUUAUCUUAUAUUAUAUUAUAUUUAUUUUUUUGUUUUUUAGAUUGUAGAACCUUAUAAUCCUGAAGACGACCUCCCUGAAGAGGAGAGGCGAAAAAUACAAGAACGAAGAGAAGUUAGAGAAAGAAUACAAAAUUUGUUUUUUAGACCCAUUGCUCCACCACCAGAAGCAAUUGUAGAAGAUGAAGAUGACGAUGAUGAUGAUGAUGAUGAUGAUGAUGAGGAUGAAGUACCAGCAAAUAAUUAUGAAAGGAAUAUACCUGUAGUUUUACCAUCAAUCGAAUCAGUUUGCUUAGGCUGCUGCCUGUGCUUUGCUCCGCUUCGACCACUAAGACCUUGCUGUCAUCAUCGUUGUGGAUCGCUAGGAGCGUGCACAGGUUGUUGCAUAUGCACAACAAAUACAAUUGAGGCGAUAAGAGAAGCUAUGCAGGAAAAAAUAGCUUUUAAAAGACAAUAUUGGGCUAAUCACCCAAUGCAAUAUCAAGAUUGAGGUUUUUUUUUAUUUUUUUAUAUUA